GUGGGGAAUAUUCCGCAAUGGACGAAAGUCUGACGGAGCAACGCCGCGUGAGUGAUGAAGGUUUUCGUACUGUAAAGCUCUGUUGUUUAGGACGAAAGUGCCUGUUGCAAAUAGUUACAGGUAUUGACGGUACUGAACGAGGAAGCCACGGCUAACUACGUGCCAGCAGCCGCGGUAAUACGUAGGUGGCAAGCGUUGUCCGGAAUUAUUGGGCGUAAAGAGCAUGUAGGCGGGAAUCUAAGUCUGUUGUGAAAAUGCGGGGCUCAACCCCGUAUUGCGAUGGAAACUGGGUUUCUUGAGUGCAGGAGAGGAAAGGGGAAUUCCCAGUGUAGCGGUGAAAUGCGUAGAUAUUGGGAGGAACACCAGUGGCGAAGGCGCCUUUCUGGACUGUGUCUGACGCUGAGAUGCGAAAGCCAGGGUAGCGAACGGGAUUAGAAACCCGAGUAGUCC
rnacentral:rRNA from 1 species